rnacentral:rRNA from 1 species
UACGGGGGGAGCAAGCGUUGUUCGGAUUUACUGGGCGUAAAGGGCGCGUAGGCGGCCACCGCAAGUCGACUGUGAAAUCUCCGGGCUUAACCCCGGAAAGGUCAGCCGAUACUGCGGGGCUAGAGUGCAGAAGGGGCAACUGGAAUUCUCGGUGUAGCGGUGAAAUGCGUAGAUAUCGAGAGGAACACCUGCGGCGAAGGCGGGUUGCUGGGCUGACACUGACGCUGAGGCGCGACAGCGUGGGGAGCAAACAGG